GCCUUCGUGGUGUAAUGGUCAGCACGCUCGACGCGUAACCGAGAGGUCCGUGGUUCGAUUCCUGGCGAAGGCG
rfam:Stegodyphus mimosarum contig42528, whole genome shotgun sequence.